rnacentral:rRNA from 1 species
GAUGAACGCUGGCGGCGUGCCUAAUACAUGCAAGUCGAGCGAACAGACGAGGAGCUUGCUCCUCUGACGUUAGCGGCUGACGGGUGAGUAACACGUGGAUAACCUACCUAUAAUACUGGGAUAACUUCGGGAAACCGGAGCUAAUACCGGAUAAUAUAUUGAACCGCAUGGUUCAAUAGUGAAAGACGGUUUUGCUGUCACUUAUAGAUGGAUCCGCGCCGCAUUAGCUAGUUGGUAAGGUAACGGCUUACCAAGGCAACGAUGCGUAGCCGACCUGAGAGGGUGAUCGGCCACACUGGAACUGAGACACGGUCCAGACUCCUACGGGAGGCAGCAGUAGGGAAUCUUCCGCAAUGGGCGAAAGCCUGACGGAGCAACGCCGCGUGAGUGAUGAAGGUCUUCGGAUCGUAAAACUCUGUUAUUAGGGAAGAACAAAUGUGUAAGUAACUAUGCACGUCUUGACGGUACCUAAUCAGAAAGCCACGGCUAACUACGUG